rnacentral:rRNA from 1 species
GAUGAACGCUGGCGGCGUGCCUAAUACAUGCAAGUCGAGCGAACAGACGAGGAGCUUGCUCCUCUGACGUUAGCGGCGGACGGGUGAGUAACACGUGGAUAACCUACCUAUAAGACUGGGAUAACUUCGGGAAACCGGAGCUAAUACCGGAUAAUAUAUUGAACCGCAUGGUUCAAUAGUGAAAGACGGUUUUGCUGUCACUUAUAGAUGGAUCCGCGCCGCAUUAGCUAGUUGGUAAGGUAACGGCUUACCAAGGCAACGAUGCGUAGCCGACCUGAGAGGUUGAUCGGCCACACUGGAACUGAGACACGUGCCAAACUCCUACGGGAGGCAGCAGGAGGAAAUCUUCCGCAAUGGGCGAAACCCUGACGGAGCAACCCCGGGUGAGUGAUGAAGGUUUUCGGAUCGUAAAACUUUUUUUUUAGGGAAGAAAAAAUGUAUAAGUAAUUAUGCCAUUUUUGACGGUACCUAAUCAGAAAGCCACGGCUAACUACGU